CCUACGGGAGGCAGCAGUAGGGAAUCUUCCGCAAUGGACGAAAGUCUGACGGAGCAACGCCGCGUGAGUGAUGAAGGCUUUCGGGUCGUAAAACUCUGUUGUUAGGGAAGAACAAGUACAAGAGUAACUGCUUGUACCUUGACGGUACCUAACCAGAAAGCCACGGCUAACUACGUGCCAGCAGCCGCGGUAAUACGUAGGUGGCAAGCGUUAUCCGGAAUUAUUGGGCGUAAAGCGCGCGCAGGCGGUUUCUUAAGUCUGAUGUGAAAGCCCACGGCUCAACCGUGGAGGGUCAUUGGAAACUGGGGAACUUGAGUGCAGAAGAGAAAAGCGGAAUUCCACGUGUAGCGGUGAAAUGCGUAGAGAUGUGGAGGAACACCAGUGGCGAAGGCGGCUUUUUGGUCUGUAACUGACGCUGAGGCGCGAAAGCGUGGGGAGC
rnacentral:rRNA from 1 species